AUUGAACGCUGGCGGCGUGCUUAACACAUGCAAGUCGAACGAGAACGGAUUAUAGCUUGCUAUAAUUGUCAGCUAAGUGGCGCACGGGUGAGUAAUGUAUAGGUAAUAUGCCUCUUACUAAGGGAUAACAAAUGGAAACGUUUGCUAAUACCUUAUACUCCUUAUUAACAGAAGUUAAUAAGGGAAAGAUUUAUUGGUAAGAGAUUAGCCUGUAUUGUAUCAGUUAGUUGGUGGGGUAAUGGCUUACCAAGACUAUGACACAUAACUGGUUUGAGAGGAUGAUCAGUCACACUGGAACUGAGACACGGUCCAGACUCCUACGGGAGGCAGCAGUGGGGAAUAUUGCACAAUGGACGAAAGUCUGAUGCAGCAACGCCGCGUGGAGGAUGACACAUUUCGGUGCGUAAACUCCUUUUAUAUGAGAAGAUAAUGACGGUAUUAUAUGAAUAAGCACCGGCUAACUCCGUGCCAGCCGCCCAGUAAGAC
rnacentral:rRNA from 1 species